UACAGAGGUCUCAAGCGUUGUUCGGAUUCAUUGGGCGUAAAGCGCACGUAGGCGGAUCGAUCAGUCAGGGGUGAAAUCCCAGAGCUCAACUCUGGAACUGCCUUUGAUACUGUCGAUCUGGAGUAUGGAAGAGGUGAGUGGAAUUCCGAGUGUAGAGGUGAAAUUCGUAGAUAUUCGGAGGAACACCAGUGGCGAAGGCGGCUCACUGGUCCAUUACUGACGCUGAGGUGCGAAAGCGUGGGGAGCAAACAGG
rnacentral:rRNA from 1 species